CAGUCGCCGCGGUAAUACGAAGGGGGCUAGCGUUGCUCGGAAUGACUGGGCGUAAAGGGCGCGUAGGCGGAUGGCACAGUCAGAUGUGAAAUUCCCGGGCUUAACCUGGGGGCUGCAUUUGAUACGUGUUGUCUAGAGUGAGGAAGAGGGUUGUGGAAUUCCCAGUGUAGAGGUGAAAUUCGUAGAUAUUGGGAAAAACACCGGUGGCGAAGGCGGCAACCUGGUCCUUGACUGACGCUGAGGCGCGGAAGCGUGGGGAGCAAACAGGAUUAGAUACCCCAGUAGUCCCUGUCUCUUAUAC
rnacentral:rRNA from 1 species